rnacentral:rRNA from 1 species
UACGUAGGGUGCAAGCGUUGUCCGGAAUUUAUUGGGCGUAAAGAGCUCGUAGGCGGUCUGUCGCGUCUGCUGUGAAAUCUCAGGGCUUAACCCUGAGCUUGCAGUGGGUACGGGCAGACUAGAGUGCGGUAGGGGAGACUGGAAUUCCGUGGUGUAGCGGUGAAAUGCGUAGAUAUCUGGAGGAAUACCGGUGGCGAAGGCGGUAUCCUGGACCGGCAUUGACGCUGAUGGAGCGAAAAGCUAGGGGAGCAAACGGGG